GUGCAUAGCUCAAUUGGCAGAGCAUCGGACUCUUAAUCCGCAGGUUGUAGGUUCGAUUCCUACUGCACC
rnacentral:tRNA from 1 species